AUGACGCAUGACAACGGGGGUAAUGUGGAUAUCAUGAUAAGUGGUGUGGGGACAAACCAACAGUGUGAAUAUGCACACACGGCAAGCUUUGGUUCUGCCAAAACAGAUGAAGGUGCUACAUUUAGAAGCAACCCAAUGGUUCGAGAGACAAGCAAAGAACCGACUACUAACAGCAUAGGGGGGAGAGAAAGCUUCUUUGAUCAUUCAGUCAGCGAGCCAGCGAGUCCAGAAACAGGGGGAGAGAAUGCUGAACAGGGAGACAAAAAUACCGAGGCAUACUCCACACUGAAACCUCCUGAUGAAACGAUGAAGUUUGAUACUUUUGAGGAAGCUUAUGAACACUACAGGCAAUAUGCAAUGAGACAUGGGUUUGGAAUGAGACCGGAAUACAGAAAAACAAUCAAAGACAAUACUGUAAGCAGAGUCCUCUUGGUUUGUGGGAAAUACGGCAAGACAAAAACAAACAAGGAGGAGACAGAGGAUGUGUAG
rnacentral:rRNA from 1 species